rnacentral:rRNA from 1 species
ACGGAGGAUCCGAGCGUUAUCCGGAUUUACUGGGUUUAAAGGGUGCGUAGGCGGGCUUAUAAGUCAGUGGUGAAAUCCAACAGCUUAACUGUUGAACUGCCAUUGAUACUGUUAGUCUUGAGUAUAGUUGAGGUGGGCGGAAUUUGUCAUGUAGCGGUGAAAUACUUAGAUAUGACAAAGAACACCGAUAGCGAAGGCAGUUCACCAAGCUAUAACUGACGUUGAGGCGCGAAAGCGUGUUGUUCUAACAG